AAGCCACAACUAUUCACUCUUCUAGAUACUGCUUACACUGUGUUGAGAGCACAGGUCAGUGACUGAACAUAAAACUCAAACACCACUGAAGAAUUGCAAAGGUAUCCAAGGUCUGUGCGGUAUACCAAAUGUUCCUAAUUGCUUAAUACAGAUCAUCAUGUGAAGAUGUUCGCCAAAAAUUUCAGAAGGCUGACUGCAGGAGACUCAGACCUUCUUUCAUUGGAAACGCAUUCUACUUACUUACUCUAUGAAAACCAUUCCUGAUUUUGAUCAUCUCUGUUAAAUUUCUUCUUAAUCUUCAGUGCUCUAAGGGACAGCAGCCUACCCUCUCCAGUCUCUCCACGUAACCGAAAGUUCUUCUGUCCUGUUACCAUUCCAGGAAAUGUUUUCAACACCCUCUCCAAGGCCUUUGCAGUAUGUUCUAUAUUGUAGCAGCUCCAUCUUUUGGAGGUUGUAAACAAAGCAGGCAUUCAAAAUAAAAUACGUUUAGAUGUUUAUCUGACAUUUGACUUCAGAGCAGACACACAUGCGGAGAUUCUUCACAGAAACUUGUAGUUUUAUGUGGACUUCAGUGAUUAGGCCUAGGACACGACCUUAAGGAACCUGCUUUCAUUUGUGCUCGAUAUGGCCUCAACCAGGAGACAGCUUUCCCCUUGAAUCCCAUUGAAUUUCAUUUUGCUGGGGUUCCUUGAUGCCACACUCAGUCAAAUGCAAUUUUGCUAUCAAAGGCACCUUCCCUCUGAAAUCUAGCUCUUUUGUCCAUUGACCAAGACUUUAGUGAGGUCAAGAGCUGAGUGGCCCUGGUAAACACAGACGGAGCAUCAGUGAGCAUGUGCUGCUUGUUUGCACAGAUGAUGACCCCCAGCAAAUGAUGCUACUUUGGAAAAG